CAAGUUUUCAAAAUGAGGUAUGUUCAACCUCAGAUAAACAAAACAUGACAUAUAUACUGUAUCAUUACUGAUUUAACAGAAAAAAAAAAAAAAAUCCAAAAUAUAAAAACAAUCAUAUAGAAAACGAACAAAAACGUACAUUUGAUUAUGCCGCUUGUAGAACCACUUGUCAGUGGUUUCCUUGUAUGACCAUCAGUCUCUUAAAAUGUGGAGGAAUUUCACCCCAUCCUCUGUAUAAGGUUACUUCAGUUCACUGAAGUUUGCAGUGCUAGACCGUUUGUUUCUGUCUGAACAGCACACUGUUUUGGCAACUGUGUUAACACUGGAUGUAACGGUAGUUCAGUUGUACAGGUGCCCAGCUGUGAGUGGUGUGCGGAUGUACGGCUCCUGAAUGACUGGUUCCAGCUGUUGGAAGACCACCCCUGAGAGGGCCUAGGCCUGGAGAGCUGCCAGUGACAGAGCUUCACUUCCUUUACCUAAAGCCUUAUCAGCUGCUCCUGUGACAGUCGCUGGCUGAGGUUCUCUGUAGUGAGGAAGGGGAGUGGGUAGAGGUAAGCUUCCGAUUCCUUAAACCCAUAGUUUUCUCCUGUUUUUGGAUAGGACAAGGAGGUCAGACUGUCUUUGUUUUGGUACUUUUUCUGAGGUUAUGGGCAUUGGAGCUUAGCUUUGUUUUCUUCAUUAUUUUGGCCUCAGCUCACCCCAAAGUGUUGGCACUCCUGUCUUGUUGCUUUCCCCACUACUUUGUAAAUAAACGCCAUGUAAUGUCAAGUGAUUGUCAUUACAUCACAAUCGCGUGUCGCUUCUUGGGUCUGGGGGAAACCAAGUGCUGCAUUGAUACUAUUGUGGUGGCGUGCAGGAGGAAACCUGGUAAAGGUAACUACAUGGUGUUGACAACACCACCUGGAGAGGGAGUUACACCCCAGGAGAGAUUACAAUUUCCAGUGCAAACGUUGUAACAGUUACAAAAGGCACACAGGCUCAUUAUUAACAAGCAGAGGAAUGGCAAAUACAUUUCAUAGAACAAAGUUCAGACAACUACCAAUAAUUAGCUGCAGAAAAGAAAACAGCAACUUAAGCAGGGCUGGCAAUACUGAACCAUUAAUUAAGACACUUGAUUAGCAAACAUUACUAAAAAGAACAAGGUUUGCUGCCACGAUGCUGCCCUGGUUACAAUAGCAGCUCAAUAAAAUAGUUAAUCAAAAUGGUGGAGAUCGGCACUUGGGGAGGCAACCUACAGAGAGGAGUGCCCAAGGGUGCCACCAAUUACUCACCAGUGUAGUCUCUCUGCAAUCCUCACUGCAACUUAAAUGGUGCGUUAUACUUGUUUCCCAGGGCGGGGGAAUUCCACCACAGAUGGCUAGUCCCCACAACAAGCAACUGUAUCUCCACUAAAGAAAAAUAAAACUUAUAAAACUUAUAAAUUAACACACACACCCUUUAAAAUACAACUGCUAUUAAAAGCACGAUUAAAAUAUAACAAACAGUUAACACUAAAACAGGGGAAAUGAAUGUAAUCUGCAAUACUUAAAAACAGCCUGUGAUCUUCACCACCUUCAACAGGAACGAAUGCAAGGAGCAGGCUAUAGCUGCUCCUUAUAACCCGGCUCUGAUUAACAGCAAGGGAUGGGUGAAUGUUCAUGCUGCAUUCAAAGACACCAUGCAAAAACCAUCUACCAAAUCUAACCCACUACACUAUGACCUGGCCCAUAGACGGGUUGUGUGGCAUUAAUUUCAUUUGGGUUGAUGACUGGACCAUGACAAUGGUUCUUUUCUUUUUCAGCCAUUCUGCUGUAGAUGUAGCUGUUGGUGUUUUUGCAGUUUAUCUGAGCACUUGACAGUCUCGUGUGUGUUUUAGAAAAUCCACUACUUUGAAAGCUGGCAACUGUCCUGAAUUUUUUCCAUUGUGGAAUGAUGACCUUAUAACCCUUUUCUGAUUGAUGGGCAACAGCGAUCAGUUUGCAUCUGAUUUAUUUUUCUAUAUUAUAUCCUAGCACAUAAAACCUUAGAAGUAACAAAGGGUGUGCUUUCUUUUUUAAGGUGACUGUAUAUCCCACAUACUUUUUGAGAGAUGACUUUUUAUAACAAGCUUAGACGAGGCAAAGUGUCAAUACUGCAGGACUGCAGGAAAAAAGGCAUGGUAAAUCUCACCUACUUUAUGCGACGUUAUCUAUGGUCUGUUGCUGUGGUAUUGGUAAAAGUAGAACAGUGCAAUACAGGGUGGGAAAAAAAUACUUUACUGUGAACAGAUGUCAGGGUGCACUCUCACAGAAUCGUCUCCGACUUCAAAGACUGAACCAGCCAACCAAAAGAAGAAGAAAAGGCACUCACGUGGCCACACACCAUGAUCGAUUUCCUGUUUGCACACCAUUUCUGUGGCAUUGUGUAAGCAUCUAGGCAAGGUCUUAAUAGUAUGCAUGCAUGUCCACUGUGCAGACAUACAUGCAAAGAAGCUGUACGCUAUAAUUAAGAUGAUUAUUAGAUAUCAAAUUUUCCUUAUGUGACAUUAAAGCUGGUAAAGUUGUUGCGCAGAGAUAAGGAUUAAACAGCAUAUGACUCAAUGCUGGCAUGGAAGACUUUUCAAGAUAUUGGGGAAUCAACAGGACCCUUUUUCUAAUAUGUUGCAUCGUGUGUAUGUUUUUACAAGCAGGUAAAAUUCAUUUACAGUUACUUUGACAAUGAGUAGAACUUAGUGGAACAGUUUAGUAACUUGAGAAUUUUUUUUCCAGUUUUUGCUUUUGUACUGGAAGCUACAACGAAAAAAAUGUCUGAAUAGUGAAAAAGAAGGUUAUUUUUUAUAUCUGGAUUUUUAUUUGCUUGUAUUUUUUUAAAUUCAAUCUCAAGAAUUAAUCAAAACAAGGUUAUGACUUUAAUUUCUGUGCUUUGUUUUUUGAGAUGUUGGCUCUAUUCUGCAGCAUGCCCGCCUUUUUACAAAGCUGUGUAUUUGCCCCCUUCCUUAUUUUUAUUUUUUAUUUUUUGUAAAUUUGUCACAAAAUACAGUUUUUAAAUGAUGAUUUAUAUAUUAGGGAAAGAAAGCUAUCCAGAUCUACCUGACCGUAUGCAAAGAACAAGUAAUUCCCCCCUAGACCCAAGAACUGCGAUCAAGCAUUUGUAGAAAUUGGUGAGGCAUCUUUCACAUCUUUGUCGAGUAUAUUUGUUCUUGGCCAGACAUUCUCUCUGAGCAUUUUCUUUUAGAGAGCAGAAUUCACAGCCCCAUUAACUAUGGAAAGUCAUUCAGGUCCUAAAGCAGCAAAGCAGUCCCACAACUGUCACACUACCACCACCAUGUUUGACUGUUGGUAUGAUCCUUUUAUGAAAUGUUGUGUCAGGUUUACAGCAUGUAUUGGGACUCAAACCUUUAAAAAAGAUCAACUUUUUUUUCUCAUCAGCCCACAGAAGUCUCAAAAGUCUCAGGGAUAAACAGGAUUUUUUUUGCCAAGUGUGAGAUUAGCCUUCGUGGUUUUGUUUCUUGGAACCUUUGGAACUUUUUUUAAUGGUCUUUUUAUAAUUGUUGAAUCAUAAACACUGCCCUUAACUGAGGAAAGUGAGGCCUGAAGUUCUUUAGAUGUGGUUUCACACCUCAGAGACCCUGUGUUUUUUUUUGUUUUUUUUUAGCCUCCUCAUUGAGUCGUCAGUGUGCUCUUGGAGUAAUUUUGGUACACUGGCCACUCUUCGGAAGGUUAAUGUAGAUUUAUUUGUGGAUAUCAGCUCUCACUAUGAUUUGCUUGAGUCCCAAAGCCUUAAAAAUUACUCUGUUACAUACAGCCAGGUAGGUUUGGAUAGCUUUUUUCUCAACAAAUAAAAUCACCGUUUGAAACUUUUACUUUUCUCACAUGCAUUCAAUAUUGAUUAAGUCAGAAAAAGGAUGAAAAAGCAGAGCUGGGAUAGAGGUGGGCUGCAAAGUGACUUGCAGAGAAUAAUAAUAAUAAUGUUAUAGUUGAAAAUGUGUAGGAGCAUCAGCUGAGCUAACUAAUAUAUAUGUAAUAUAUAUGUAUAUAUAUGUAAUUGAAAUAAUAAGUAAAUGAGGCCUAUAAUGUGAUUUUUUUUGUCUUUCAAGAAGGGAACAGCACUUCCUUGAUGGCUGGGAGCACAGUGACCCUGCACUGUAGCAAUAACUCAAUCAGCGACCUCCAACAACUGACAUGGAAAAGGAAUGGGACUCUUCUGUUUAGUUUCAAGGCACAGAAAACCUCAAACAACAGCUCUGUGACUUUAAGCAGUAAUCAGAACAUGUCAGACAGCAGAAUAAUAAGGUCUCAUGCAGCUGCCAUCCUGAAUCUAAGCAUGUCCACCUUAAAAAGCCAACUGUAUGCACUAAUCAUAGAGAGAGCUCAGAAACAUCACGAAGGAAACUACACUUGUGAAACGACCACAGACUCAGGAGUCUUCGAACAGAAAUGGGAGCUCAUAAUUACAGAGAACGCUGAAGCUGAAGGUCCAUUUAAAAUCCAUAUUGCUGCAGCAGUUGUUGUCCCUUCGCUAUGUUUCCUGAUCUUUAUAUUAACUGCUGUGAUCAUUCUCAGAGGAGUCUGCAAACGACGUUCGCAAAGAAUCACCCAGGCUCCUAGAAGACUGCAGGAGCAGAGACAACCCACUUAUGAAAACCUGGAUUUUGAAGGUCGCCAACAAUGUGGACAAAUUCAGGUUCACCCCUAUAAAUACAGGGCUGAGUGAUAUGAAUCGCACAGUAACAUAAGGCCUAACUCUUUUAAAUGAUCAACCACUUUAAACGGCUUUCUCUGUGAAUGUAUUGUAGUGAAGAGCACAGUCUGUACUUGAAGCUGCAUUAUUUAUUUUUUUCUGGCUGAACUGAAGACCAGUCAGAAUGUGACCUCAUCGAUUUGUAGUCAUAAGUUAACAGCUGACAGUAGAUACCUGUCAGUUUUGUACAGGGUGUUUAAUUACUGACGAAAAUAGAUUGCUUGGAGCUCUUAAAUGCACUGUUACUCACACACUGGCUAAUGUUGUUGUUUUAAAUGAAUUCAGAACACACCCUCAUGUUAUCUUAGGCUGCUCUGCUUAGUAAUCUCAAGACUUUACAGCGUUACAGAGAGAACAAGUGCCCAUUCAGUAUGAGUUUAGUGCUGCAGUUUAUCUCUAGUGCAAAAGUAAAACUUGACACAUUUAAACAUGAUAGGGUAGUUGAGGCACUGAUUGGGAUGCUGUCUCACAGUUUAAUGUAGAGAGAAGCAGAUCAAAGUGAAAUUUAUUUAAUUAAUAAAUUAAAUUAACUUUCUAUGCUUUAAUUCUGCAGUUUUUUCCCUCAUCACCAGGUAAAUGCACAAUGCAAUUUCAAAUACAUUUUUUAUGCUGUUGCAACCUCACAGAAGAUCUCCUUUCUGUGCUUUUAAUAAGAUCCGUCUCAAUCCACUGCAUAUAUAAAAAGUAUUAUUUCAUCACAUAUUAUAUCACUUUUAAAGCACACAGUAGCAACAACCCCAUUUCUAAAAAGUUGGGACACUGUGUAAAAUAAAAACAGAAUGCAAGUUUUACCAAAUCUAAUAAACUCAUUUUUUAUUUCUAUCAAACAUAUAAAUCAAAUAUCGAAUGUUUAAACUGAGACAUUUUACUCUUUCAUGAAAAAUAUGAGCUCAUUUUCAAUUUAAUGGCUGCAGCCUGUGUCAAGAAAUCUGGGACAGGGGCAACAAAAGACUACAAGUAAUUAGGUUAAUUGUUAACAGGCCAGUAAAACCAAUCUUUGAAAAAUACGAUGGACUGCUUUCAGAACUGCACAUGAUUAUUUUCAGCUAGCAGGUUGUUAAUGCUAUCCAUCGAGUCUAACAAUCUGCAGUCUAUGAACUAACCUCAGCUAAUGCCAGCUAACAAUGUUAGCUUGGUGGCGAGUGGCCUUUAGUAAUAGUAAUAAAUCACACAGCAAUAGUACAUCGAAGAUACUGAAGUGGCGCAUAACCCAGGUAGCUACCACAACUAAAACAAGGUAGUUGCAGUAGGCUAACAUUAGUUUUUAAAAAAGAACUCACUUCCAGAUGUUUCUUUAAGUUGGAGGUGGAGUCUUUUUACGCUGAGAGCAACUUGGUUUCUGGCAAACAUAGUUUGCAAUGCAUGGUCAGAUUUUGCCCAUCCUUUUCUUCUUUAAAUGUUAAGUGGUGUCGGAAUUUCCAAGUAAGAAAUGCGUUCCUGCCCGUGCACUUCUGGCUCUGUUGUGCUGGCUCUGGGUCCAUUGUGUAACUGAUGCCACCAACAUUAACAGGAGACUUACAUUAAAGCCUCUUAUUUCGCGUUUUGUUUGGGUUUCCAGCAAUGUGUGGAAUUACCAGAAUUAGAGAGGGGAUAGAGAGGGGAUAACCCAACAUAUGAAACAGGAAAAGGCCGCCAUGUAAUCCAUUUAUUUCAAAAAAGUAACUGUAUUCUAAUAAACCCCCUUUAAACAGUAACUGUAACUGAAUACAGUUACUCAUAUUUUGUAUUUUAAAUACGUAACACUGGCACAUGUAUUCCGUUACUCCCCAACACUGCCCUGGACUGUAAAUUAACUCCUAUAUGAGACUUAAAUGGACAACAUUCCUCUUCCAAAAGUCCAGCAACUGGUAUUUUCAGUUUCUAGAUGUUAACACACUGUUCAUAAAAGAAGUGGGGAGGUACACCGUUCUAAACGUGGCCCUGAAACAUGCUGGAACCACAAAUUCAAAUUCAUUUCUUAAAAUGGCACAGUUUACAAGUUUACACGUUUGAUAAACAUUUUCUAAGUAAAUAGAAUAUACAUUUACAUUUGUGAGAUUUGCAAAUCAUUGCAUUUUGUUUCUAUUUACAUUUUGCACAGGAUCCCAACUUUUUUGCAACUGGGGUUAUAGAAGUGACACUUUGAGGCAGUUUUACCCCAAAACUGCGCAUCACCUGCUCCAGAUCAGACUAUGUUUGCAGGAUGAGUUACCAUGGUGAUCUAGCCAGGUUAAAGGAAAGACAAGUUUGUGACACUGCAGACUCUGACUUUAAGCUUUACACAGCUCACUAAAGCAUUAAUCCCACUUUGUACUAUACUCCUUUUGACUGCAUUCUAAAGAGAGUCAAAAAGAUGGUACAGAAGUCCCAUUUAGACUCUGCGUGACUCAGUGGAACAUAUCUCACCUACUUCCCUUGUCUGUGGUCUCUGGUGUGAAGUGGCGUAGAUGCAUAAAAAAAACAACAAAAAAACAACCACAACUCACAAAAGUGUCCUAUUUAGAUCAACAAACGGUUUAACUCCAGACACUGAUGUAGGAGGUAAUUUCCUGAGAAAUUAUUUUUUCCAUCUAAAUAAAAUCUAAAAGAGCAAACAGUGCACUGCUAUUGCACAUAACCUAUUCAGUUCAUCAGCUGGCAAAGUGCAUAAACAGAAAGCUUAAAGGUCAUGAAAGAGAAGUACAGUGCUUAAAAAAAUUAUUCAAAAGCAGUAUACAUGAGCCAAGUUUAAACUCCCGGAGGUUGGAGCUGCCCACACUGGCAGUCCACACCUCUAAUUUGAAAAGGGCCUUAAUAAAAAUAAGAACGGAUAAGUCAGAAAGAAGAAAAAACAUCUCCCUCAUCCAUAUUAGGUUAACUGGAGACUAAAAGUUGCCCAAAGGUGUGAGUGUGAAUGGCUUUCUGUCUCUAUGUGCUGACUCUGCAGUAGACAUUCUUGAACCCCUCCCCCCACAGCUCAGCCUGAUUUGGAUAAGGGGUUAACAAGUUGCUCCAGUGUUUUGUUUUGUUUUUCUGAAUAGAUAUCAUUUAAUGUGUAGCACCUAUGCUUGUAGAGACUACAUUGAUCAGGUGUAACAUUAUGACUACCUGCCUAUAUUACGUUUGCCCGUUUUUCAGCUGCAGUGCACUGUGUAUUCUGACACUUUUCCAUGAGUACCAAUAUUACCUUUUUUGGCAAUUUGAGCUACAGUAGCUCAUCUGUUGGACCAGACCACAAGCACCAGCCUUUGGCCUUUAAUGACCCUGUGACUGGUUCACCACUGUUCCUUCCUUAGUCCACUUUUGAUAGAUACUGACCAUUGACUGGGAACAAAGGCUGGGAGCAGGGGUUUCGAGGUGCUCUGAUCCAGUCGCCUAGUUUGCCCUUGUGACACUUGCUCAGAGCCUUACGCUUGCCCUUUUUUCCUGCUUUGAACACAUGUAAUUUGAAGACAAAAUGUUCACUUGCUCCCUAAUAUAUCCCACCCAGUAAGAGGUGCCAUGCUGAAGAGAUAAUCAGUGUUAUUUCCUCACCUGUUAGUGGUCAUAAUGUUAUACCAGAUCGGUGUAGGUACAUUACAAUCAAAACCAUAACUUUUGAAAAAUGUGAAUGACUUUAUUUUGUACAGGUUACCUCUUUUGCAAGCACAACUGUGUAUAUAGAAAAAUGGAAUGUGAGUGUUGUGUGUAUAAAACAACGAAAUAAAAGAAAAUAACAAAAAAAAAAAGAAAAUUCAUUUAAAAUCAUAAUAACACAAGGGGGAAAAGUCACUUACUCAGUGCCUUUGGCCUCUGCUGUGCCUCUGACUCAGUCCUCAUGCCAGAACCAAUCAAUGUCGAGUUCCUGUAGAGUCUUUGCCAAGUAAAAGCGCCCAAGAAUGUCACCAUUGAUUUGUGACAAUUUUUCUGGUCUUGUUUUCAAGGGAAAAAAAUGAUAAUAAUGAGGCCCAGACACAGAGCGUAUGAAACAUGGAAACAAAUUAAACCUAUUUUGUAACCCUUAAUAUAGACAAUUGUGUAUGGUAUGCUCAUUGUGAU
ensembl:lncRNA